UCCCUGACGCCUCAGAUGGUAAAGGAUCUGCCUGCAAUGUGGGAGACCCGGGUUUGAUCCCUGGUUAGGGAA
rnacentral:tRNA from 1 species